rnacentral:rRNA from 1 species
UACGAAGGGGGCUAGCGUUGCUCGGAAUCACUGGGCGUAAAGGGUGCGUAGGCGGGUCUUUAAGUCAGGUGUGAAAUCCUGGAGCUCAACUCCAGAACUGCCUUUGAUACUGGGGAUCUUGAGUUCGGGAGAGGUGAGUGGAACUGCGAGUGUAGAGGUGAAAUUCGUAGAUAUUCGCAAGAACACCAGUGGCGAAGGCGGCUCACUGGCCCGAUACUGACGCUGAGGCACGAAAGCGUGGGGAGCAAACAGG